GUUACAAAACACACAUAUACAGAGGAGAAAUAACGAGGCUCCAUGGUUUUCACUAAACGAAUAUCAAAAUGUUAUGGCACAGAUGUAAUUAGGCGCCUCCUGCACAGUCACCAACAGAGAUGCCCCUUCAGCUGUGACUCAAAGGGGAGCACUCAGCACAGAUUACAAAAAAAAAUCUAACCUUACUGUUCAGAGGGGCAGUGAGUGCUGUGCUGUCUUUAAGAUGAGGUGCAAAACUGAGGUUCUAUCUGUCAAGUCAGAUUGAAGAGGAUUAGAGAAUGAAGUCUCCGGCAGAGGUUCCCUCUUUAUUUUCUUGUUAAUCUCAGCGUGUCCUGUCCUCAUUCUCUGCAAUGGAGGAAUGGAUCUUAAAGCACCCAGGAGUGACUGAGCAUUGCAGGAGUAAGUCCAAACUACAAAAGCAGCUUGGGCAUCUGAACUCCUAAGAAGUCCAGAAGUACCAAACACUAACCUGGCAUUUAGUCUGUAAGUUAACGGUGACCUCUUUAAACAGCAAUGUGUUAGAGGGGGUAGUGGGAGGGAUCCCUCACACUGUCAAAUACUGAAUCAGAUGUAGAUAGCGGGAUUGCUUUGUCAAGCACCUGUACAAUGUCCUGUGUAUGUUACUCAAAAUGGGUUUUUGGGUUUGUUAAGAGUAGGAAUGCUUCUUUGAUAAGUGUUUCUCUCGCAGUUGUUUUGCUUUAUACUUGUUGAUAUGGUAAUUGUAUUCAUUUGUUAACCAAUGGGGAAUGUUAUUUUGUCUUGUGAGGCUGGGAACUUGGGGGAGGGGUUUUUCGUGGGCUUUUGGUAGAGAGCCGGGAGGAUGACGCUGAGGAAGGUGGACGUGCACUGCACUGCUCGGAAGACCCCCCAGGCGUGGUCCUAAGUGCGAAGACGUGGAGGUCGGAGGCAAGCGACGAGGGGUCGAAUGGUUCGAUGUUUGAGCUCCAACAAUGUGCACUAAACUGACUGAACUUUGAUAAGUUGGCGCCUUUUUGUUUUUUCCCUUGCAUAUAUAUUGUAUUGCCUAAUACUCUUUUAAUUUUAGUAAACUCUUUAAAGUGUAUUUCAUAACGGUAUUUGUUGUGGGUUUGAUACUGUGGGCGGGCGCGAGGCAUAAACUCGAUUCUCACAGCACCUGCGUGUACGGGAGGUAGGUUGGUGAGUGGCUGGAUCUCCUUUUCCCCUAGACAUAUACCAGCCUGUUGGGUAAGUGUUACACACCUUUGCUCCGUCCGCAACAGGCAGGCUUUCUUGCUGGCAACCAUUUUAAUUCCACUCUCUAUUCCCAUUCCAACAUGUCUGUCCAUGGCCUCCUCUACUGCCACAAUGAGGUACUCUUAAUUUGGAGGAACAAUAUUCCAUUUGGGUAGCCUCCAACUUGACCUGCCUAUCACAUCCCUCUGGUGCCCAUCCUCCUUUCCUUUCUCCCAUGGCCCACUUUCAACCUAUCAGAUUCCUCCUUCUUCAGUUGCUUACCUUUUCCACCUAUCACCUCCCAGCUUUUCGCUUCAUCCCCCUUCCCCACACC